rnacentral:sRNA from 12 species
CCUUGACAGUUGCAUGGUGCGACUGACAGUUGCCAAGACAAGGAGAUUGAUAUG